rnacentral:rRNA from 1 species
UUCGUAGGGUGCGAGCGUUAAUCGGAAUUACUGGGCGUAAAGCGUGCGCAGGCGGUUCGUUAAGUCAGAUGUGAAAGCCCCGAGCUCAACUUGGGAACUGCAUUUGAAACUGGCGGGCUGGAGUGUGGCAGAGGGGGGUGGAAUUCCACGUGUAGCAGUGAAAUGCGUAGAGAUGUGGAGGAACACCGAUGGCGAAGGCAGCCCCCUGGGCCAACACUGACGCUCAGGCACGAAAGCGUGGGGAGCAAACAGG